rnacentral:rRNA from 1 species
GACGAACGCUGGCGGCGUGCUUAAUACAUGCAAGUCAACGACUUUUAGAGUAGCAAUAUUCUAAAGGAAGUGGCGCACGGGUGAGUAACACGUAGGUAAUCUGCCUUCAGGACUGACACAACUCGUCGAAAGACGGGCUAAUAUCAGAUAAUGCAGCGGCUCCGCAUGGAGACAGUUGUUAAAGUACAAGCGCCUGAAGAUGAGCCUGCGGUCCAUUAGCUAGUUGGUAGAGUAACAGCCUACCAAGGCAACGAUGGAUAGCUGGUCUGAGAGGAUGAUCAGCCACACUGGAACUGAGACACGGUCCAGACUCCUACGGGAGGCAGCAGUAAGGAAUAUUGCUCAAUGGCCGAAAGGCUGAAGCAGCAACGCCGCGUGAAGGAUGAAUGGCCUUUGGCCUGUAAACUUCUAGUAAAAAGGGAAAAC